UGGAUUAUACAAAUUAAAAUUGCCAUCAAUUUGUGUCCUUUUCAAAAUCACGAGAUGAACUAUAUUAAAUGUUCAUGCUGUAGCCACUUGAAUUGUAAAUUGGUUGUUAGGGUGAAUAACACUAAAGGGCAUGAUGCAAUGUUUCUGUAGUCUGCUGCCAUUGACGUUGAUUGUUAAACCAGGACACAAAUUCUUAUAUCAGCAAACCCUCCAACCUUCAAAAUGACAAAAACAGAAUACAAAAAUGGUUUUGUCGACUCAAACCCUAAGCAUAUGUCACAAAGUCAUCAAUGAUAACCUUCACAAACAUACGUAAGUUAAGUUAUUUUGUUCGGUUUUGUUGUUUGUCAAAUCAACAAUGCUGUGGUCGGUACACAUAAUUAUAAUUAUGGACAUAUAUAAAGUUUGCAUAUCUUUUAUUUGAAUGAACAAAUAUAAUGUUAAACAAUGUAAGAAAAGAGAACCCUUCAAGUUUACAAAUUAAUAUUGUAUAAUGCAGUUGCUUUGUUUUUUUAUUUUCAGAAUGGUUUUAGAAUCUGUAUAUAUAUUAGAAGCAACAGUGGAUUAUUAUUACUAUUCAUUGUACAAAAUAUGUGGCAUUAACACUUAUAUCUAAGUCUUUUUUAAUCAAAUCCUAUAUUUUGAUUCUAAUAUUACUUUUCUAAUCAAAUACUUAACAUACUAAGAAAACUACUAUUGUUUCUUUAACAAAAGCCUGAAUCACAGUGCUUUGGAAAGUCUGAUUCUAUAUGCGAAAGUGUGAUAUCAAGUUGCCUAAUUAAUAAGUUAAAUAAUAAUUUUGAUAUUUUUAUUUGUUUUUGUAAUUUUAGUCACUAGAUUUAAAAAAAAUUGGUAAUUAUUAAAUUAUUUUCAAUGAUAAUUAAAUAUGUUUUGUAAUUUAAUUGGACAAAAUAAAAGAAAAAAAACAUUUACAAAAUUAAGGAUUUGUUUAGAAUUAAAGAACUAAAAUUGCAGAAAAAAAGGGAUUAAAAUUAUGUAUAAGAAGUAAAAAAAGAAAAAAAGGCAAUUUAAUCUAAUCAAAAUACAGAUCUAUAAUAAUUUAUCUAACUCUAACCAAUUGACAAAGGUUGAUCUUGAGAUUUAUAUUAAUCCUAGUAAAUUAUUGGAACUGAAAUCACAGUGGCAUGCAUGAGUUAGCCAUGGUAAAAUAAAGGACAAGAGAGAAGUGAGAUAGGAACAGUACAAUGACUUUCUGAAGAUAUGUUGAAAACAUAUGGUGGCAGUGUGAUGCUUGCUUCAUCUUCUUCGUUUUCUAGGAUAGAAAAUGACUCGUGAUCAUUGAUCAAGAAACAAAACUUCC
rnacentral:lncRNA from 1 species